rnacentral:lncRNA from 1 species
GUACAGUACUGAACUGUACACAUCAUCUUUUUGUCACAUGCACGUUAGAAACACACUUUCACCAAACAUUCACCAAUUGCAAUAUUGUUUAUCAAUAUCUCCAUUCAAAUAAAUAAAGCUAAAAAGGAAUGCCAAAUGCAAUUAAAGAAGUGGGAUGCGUUUCUCUUAUGGCUGUGAAAAUACUAGCUUAGACUGAAGUGAGGCAACAGAUGUAUAAUUAAAGUAUUUUCUGUUUUGCUUUGCUUUCAGGAUCCUAUCAGAGGAGAACAAUCUAAUCUGAAGGCUGCAGUGUCAGACUACUGUUUUUCAAUAUUUUUUUCAGUGCUGUUUGCAGAACUAAGGUUCAGGUUGAGCAGGUAGACCAUGCUUCUUCUGACUACUGCUUGGUUUUAUGAUAGCUUAUCUAUCAGAUACUGCAGGCUGAAAAAAGAUUUGAAUCCAGUGGCUUUCUGGGAAACUGCUCUCACUGUGAAGUUAUUAUGAAAGGAGUAGGAACCACAUGCUAUUCUGGCUACAUUUUGAAGAAUAAUGUCAAGCCUGAAGAGCUUCAAGAAUCUCUCAGUGAACUCACAAUGAAAAGCCUAAAUUCAAGCAAUCUGUGCAAUCCCUGUGCCCUAUGGAAAGUCAGGGGGCUUCAGGGAAGACUGUGGUCACUCACAUCUUGAUAUUGGAUGGGUGACGCUGUCAUAAAAAGACAUAGAAUAAAUACAGG